GUGCUCACUUUGGCAGUGCGAAUACUAAAAUUGGAAUGAUACAGAGAUUAGCAUGGCCUCUGUGCAAGGCUGACACACAAAGUCAUGAAGUGCUCUGCAUUUUU
rnacentral:snRNA from 1 species